CCAGCAGCCGCGGUAAUUCCAGCUCCAAUAGCGUAUAUUUAAGUUGUUGCAGUUAAAAAGCUCGUAGUUGGAUCUUGGGUCGUAAGGGUCGGUCCGCCUACUCGGUGUGCACCUGCCCUUCCGUCCCUUUUGUCGGCGGCGUGCUCCUGGCCUUAAUUGGCUGGGUCGCGGUUCCGGCGCUGUUACUUUGAAAAAAUUAGAGUGCUCAAAGCAAGCUUAUGCUCUGAAUACAUUAGCAUGGAAUAACGUGAUAGGAGUCUGGUCCUAUUGUGUUGGCCUUCGGGACCGGAGUAAUGAUUAAUAGGGACUGUCGGGGGCAUUCGUAUUUCAUUGUCAGAGGUGAAAUUCUUGGAUUUAUGAAAGACGGACCA
rnacentral:rRNA from 1 species